rnacentral:rRNA from 1 species
AAAGAAUUGUCCAGAUAGCCAUGCAUGUCUAAGUAUAAGCAAUCUAUACGGUGAAACUGCGAAUGGCUCAUUAAAUCAGUUAUCGUUUAUUUGAUAGUACCUUGCUACAUGGAUACCUGUGGUAAUUCUAGAGCUAAUACAUGCUGAAAACCUCGACUUCGGAAGGGGUGUAUUUAUUAGAUAAAAAACCAAUGCCCUUCGGGGCUCCUUGGUGAUUCAUAAUAACUUAACGAAUCGCAUGGCCUUGCGCCGGCGAUGGUUCAUUCAAAUUUCUGCCCUAUCAACUUUCGAUGGUAGGAUAGUGGCCUACCAUGGUGGCAACGGGUAACGGGGAAUUAGGGUUCGAUUCCGGAGAGGGAGCCUGAAAA